rnacentral:lncRNA from 1 species
UUCCUAUAAAAGCACCUGAUAGCGCCCGCGGUGAACUUGAGAUUACCUAUGUGGACGAGGAACUACGGUUAGUAGUGAAUGAUAGUUUUCAUUUUCAUGUUUUAUCAACAAAAUAUCCAAAACGUUUGAAUAUUGAAACAAUGUUGUUUUUUUGCAGGUUAUCAAGAGGUGACAAAGGGAACUUGUUUAUAUUGAAGAUGUUUGAUCCCACUUAUCGAAUCCCUCUUUGAUCUACCAAACAAAUGGUACCGAGCCAUCCAUCAUACAUACUUGCUACAACUUGCUAUGUCUCUCUUCAUCAUGUAUGUAAUCUAACAUAAGAAAAAUUAAUAAGAGGGAAAAAAUGAGACGAGCUUCUGUCAUUGUUUCAACUUGUUCAAAUCAAAGAUUCUGAAUCUUGAUUUGGUUGAGCAGUUAGUUCCAAUCCUAAACUAUGUGAUGCUCAAGCAGUACAACAAGAAGACCUUGAAGCUCCUCAAAAAUGCUUAGAUCAUUUUCUCUCUAUAUCUCAUAUUUUUCUUUCAUCUUUCAUUCAUGUCUCAUGUCUGGUUCCAUGACCUUUCUACAUUGUUUCUGUUGAUUUAUGAAUCUUCAAUAACACUACAAGUUAAACCAAUUAGAAGUGAGUUGGUUAUGGUCCGGUACAAAGAUCACAACCGGAGAAGGAUUGAAGAGUGGUCAAAGCGAUGGUCAGAGUUGGUUGGUUCCGUCGAAACAGGAAGAAAGGUAGAGCCUUUUUGACAAUUUGAAGAAAAUAGCAAAGAUCUACUUUUCCACAUACGUUUUCGACGCCGUAAUGAGUCAGAAACAACUAGGGCCUCUCGUUUUAGAAGAAAAGAGAGCAAAAAAACCUUAUCUUUGUGACUUUCGGUGGUGUGUGUGAUGUUGUUGUCGGUCAUGGCGAAGACAGAGCUACGAUCUCUCUCUUUUUCCUCUCUUAUGUGUCUAUCUUCGAACAGAGUCUCUCAGAAACGACCCAGCCACUCUUUAAAACUCCAUUGGAAAAGCUUUGUCCUGUUUUGAUAUCCAUGGCUUUACCUUGGUGCUUAAAGACUGGAGUUUUAACGUCUCCGGCCGCCGGAUUUAAUCAUCCAUCGGACAGUGGCUUCGCCGUUCCGACGAAGUUACUGAGUAUUCGAAAAGGUGAUCGGGAAAGAUUGAGAAUCCAAGCUGUUUUCAGCUUUCCUCCAAGAAACGGUGGAGCCGAGAAGCGGAAACAGCUCAAACAUGAACUUGUCGAAGCCAUUGAGCCUCUUGAACGUGGUGCCACUGCCUCGCCUGAUGAUCAGCUUCUGAUUGAUCAGGUUCUUGAUUUCUCUUCAUGUGGGAACCAUUGAGAAUAGUUUUGGUACACUAGGGUAUAGAGAAUGUGAUUGAGAGACUAAUCUGAGUGGUGUUUGUUUUGAAUCAUGAUAGUUAGCACGUAAGGUGGAAGCAGUAAACCCAACCAAGGAGCCUCUGAAGUCUGAUUUGAUCAAUGGGAAAUGGGAGCUCAUUUACACAACAUCUGCUGCGAUUUUGCAAGCAAAGGUUAGAACUUGUAAUCUUUGAAACUUGUGUUGUUGUUUGUUUUUGGCUUGUUGUGUAAUUUUCUCUGUCUCCUUGAGAAUGUAACAGAAACCAAGGUUCUUAAGAUCGUUAACUAACUACCAAUGUAUCAAUAUGGAUACACUAAAGGUGCAAAGAAUGGAGACUUGGCCUUUCUAUAACUCGGUAAUAUUUCAAACCGCGACUGAAUUCUCUUUUUGUACCAUUUUCACAAGUAGGUUUUGCGAUUUUGCGUUGUGUUAGACCAUAUACAAAGCUCUUUUCUCUGUGAUGUUGAAACCUAUUGAUGUGAUCCAUUGCUAUAUAAUAUUCAAAAUGUACGAAAGUUUGAGACUUUGUCACAUAUAUGUAUGAUCAUGUUCCAUUGUGACUCACUAGGCAAGAACAAAGGAGGACUAAUACCAAAGUUUUUAUCAUCAAUAUUCUUUCAGCAGAGUUUGUAAAAUGAGACUUAGCAAACUACAAUGUUUUCAUAGGUAACUGGAGACUUGACACCCCUCAACUCGAAGACGGUUGCUGUGAAACUUCAAGUGUUUAAAAUUCUCGGCUUUGUAAGUAUUACCAAAACUCUUGCUGUUAUAAGGGAAACUGGUAGUACUGACUCAUACAUACACCAUAUGCUUCUUUUACUGAUCAUUAGUGUUUGCUGUGUGCAGAUUCCGGUAAAAGCACCUGAUGGUACUGCACGCGGUGAACUAGAGAUUACCUAUGUGGACGAGGAACUACGGUCAGUAGUGAAUGAUAGUUUUUCAUUUCUCUAUGGAACUGACAACCAAAAACAUUUGAAUCUUGAAACAAUGUUCAUUUUUUACAGGAUAUCAAGGGGCAAAGGCAACUUGUUGUUUAUAUUGAAGAUGUUUGAUCCCACUUAUCGAAUCCCUCUCUGAUCUAUCGAAAAAAAUAGUUUCGAGCUAUCAUACAUACUUAAAAUCGCUUGUUCUGUCUCUCUAUUCAUCAUGUAUGUAAAAAUCUAAUAAGAGAGAAUAAAAAGAGACUAGCUUUUGUCAAUGAUUCAACUUGUUUUGAU